UCUCCAAACCGGAGACAAACUCUAUAUCACUAUGAAUCGAAAACGUUACAAGCUUCGCACUAGUUGCGUGUUCUAUGCUUUAGAGAGUUUAUAUGUUUCUGUAUCUAAAACAAUGAUAGGAGAAGUCUAUUUAUACUACAAGAUCUAAGCUAGUUCUACUUGGAACAGGAUUUAGUAAUCCACCGCCAUACGCAUCUGUUUCCCUUUAGAACUAGGAGUUUCUUGUUUCACAAGAAUUAAUCUUAUUCGUCUUUUUUUCAGGUUCUGUCCGAAGCCCAAUAAGCCCAAGAAUUGCCCAAUGAGACACCAAGGCCU
rnacentral:lncRNA from 1 species